GAGUUUGAUCGUGGCUCAGAACGAACGCUGGCGGCAUGCCUAACACAUGCAAGUCGAACGGGAUCCAGGCUUCGGCCUGGUGAGAGUGGCGGACGGGUGAGUAACGCGUGGGAACCUGCCCAAUGGUCUGGGAUAACCGCGGGAAACUGCGGCUAAUACCGGAUAAGCCCGAGAGGGGAAAGAUUUAUCGCCGAUGGAGGGGCCCGCGUCCGAUUAGGUAGUUGGUGAGGUAACGGCUCACCAAGCCGACGAUCGGUAGCUGGUCUGAGAGGAUGAUCAGCCACACUGGGACUGAGAUACGGCCCAGACUCCUACGGGAGGCAGCAGUGGGGAAUAUUGGACAAUGGGGGCAACCCUGAUCCAGCAAUGCCGCGUGAGUGAUAAAGGCCUUAGGGUUGUAAAGCUCUUUUGGCGGGGACGAUGAUGACGGUACCCGCAGAAUAAGCCCCGGCUAACUUCGUGCCAGCAGCCGCCGU
rnacentral:rRNA from 1 species